rnacentral:rRNA from 1 species
GUUAAGGGGGCUCCUUCGGAGCAACCGGCAAACUGGGUAGUAACAGGUAGGAUCAUACCUGAGAGUCACGAAUAGCCAUGGGAAUCCGUGGGUAAUACCUGAUAGUACCGCAAGGGUAUAAGAUUUAUCGCUCUCCGGAGUGGCUUGCUUCGUAUCAGCUUGUCGGCGAGGUAUAUGGCUCUCCAAGGCUAUGACGCGUAGGGGAGGUGAGAGCCUGACCCCCACCAUUGGAACUGAGACACUGUCCAAACACCUACGGGUGGCUGCAGUCGAGAAUCUUCCGCAAUGCACGAAAGUGUGACGGAGCGACGUCGCGUGAUCGAUGAAGUACUUAGGUAUGUAAAGGUCUUUUAUGAGGGAGGAAGUUUAUUGACGUUACCUCAUGAAUAAGGGGUUGCUAAACUCGUGCCAGCAGCAGCGGUAAUACGAGUGCCCCGAGCGUUAUCCAGAAUUAUUGGGCGUAAAGGGUCCGUAGGCGGUUGUAUUAGUCUCUUGUUAAAGCUCUGGGCUCAACCCAGGAAUCGCAAGGGAACCGGUACAACUAGAGAGCGAGAGGGGUGUAUGGAACUCCUGGUGUAGGGGUGAAAUCCGUUGAUUCCAUGGGGAACACCAAAAGCGAAGGCAAUACCCUGGCUCGUUUCUGACGCUAAGGGACGAAACCCUGGGUAGCGAAUGGGAUUAGAUACCCCAGUAGUCCAGGGCCUAAACG